UCCGUCGUUCCCUUUGAAUCUCCU
rnacentral:sRNA from 1 species